AGCUUUACACAGUGGCAGUAUCAUAGUCAGUAAGGUUUAUCCAAGGCAUGAUUAUUGCUAAUUGAAAACUUUUCCCAAUAAAAUAUCAUAUUAUUAUAAUGUUACUAUCUAUAUGCCAGGUCCCAGUAUUCACUG